GUCACCAACUUGGGAGAUACUGUAGCAGGUUUAAUCACAGCUGAAGCUGGUUCGGUGACCGCUUGAAAAAGCUGCUUUUAAUCUAAAUCCAUCAGUAAUAUAGAAGUUGUUAAAUCUAAAUCUGGAAGGGACCUCAGAGACCCCUAUUUCAUUCUCUUCCUUUUGUAUAUAAGGUCCCCCACCUAGUAAGUGUAAAAGAUAGGUCCUAGCCCCGAUGCUGACUCCCCAGCCGUGUUCUUCCACUGUAACCCGGGCCUCUACACUAACUUUCAGGGGCGUAGGGGCGAUUGUUCUCCCUCCGGGACGGAAGGACACCCAUUCCACCCACAUACUGCGCGCGCCAACUUUUCUGCCGUUUACUAACUAGCUGCACUUGACAAAAACGUUACUGUUUGAUUUUUAAGGCCCUCGAAACCUUUUCCAACUCAUCUUUCCAGGUUCAUAUAUUUACCCCCUUUUACACUCUACGAUCCAGGUGACAAGGAAUGGGAAUUUGAAGAGAUCCCAUAAAUUGGGGAAUGGAUGAACAACUUAGAACAUGUAAAUGUGAUGAAAUACUAUUGUAUUGUAAGAAAUGAUAGAGAGAAUUUCAGGAUGAUGUGAGAAGACUUACAUGAACUGGCAAGGAGUGAAAGAAAUACAAUUAUGAGAACAAUUUAUGUAAUGACAACAAUAUGGUAAAGCCCGGUUAGUUGAGGCCUAUCUCUCUGCCUGGCUCGAAGA